CUUUUAUAUACCAAUGCCCUAGCCCCUUUUACUCUCACGACAUUCACAAACUGUCUCUUGCUCUCUUGCUCGCCAUAGUCGCAGCUCCAGCGGUCUGAAUCUCUGUCUCUCGGUCUCUCACUUUCUUCAUCAUGUUCUGUUUCUCUGAUCUUCAAUUUCAUUUUUCGACUCGAAAUUUGAUUUUCUAAGUUGAAUUUUCUUGAGAAAGAUACAGCCUCUAGGAGACUUGAUCGACGAUGAAACAGAAAAUUGUUGAGUGAAAUUAAGCUAAUUGUGUGAUCGGGCAAAGAGAAAAAAAAUAGAGAGAUGAGAAGCACGAACAACAACGCUCUAGAUAGGAUAAGCGCUGCUGCGACUGAGAUCGCGUCAGCUGGGACUCAAGCUUCGGUUCAGUCAUCCUCAUCAUCUUGAAAUUGAGAAGACAAAGAAGAUGGAGAAGGCAAAGAAGAUGCUGAAAGAAAUAACCAUUGACAUUGACAACCUGAAGCUCAUCUUGUCAUAAUAGCUUGUGGGUCUGCUUUGGAGGAAUUUCACCUGAAGAUGGUGGAGAGGGCUAUGCAACAUACAUCUGCAAUUUCAUCAUCUUCGGUUUCUUGCAGUGAUACUGAUAAGGUUUGUGAUUGAAUUUACCUACCAAAAAAAAAA